GUGUUGUGGAGUGCAAAGCUGGCAUACCUGGCAGAUAUAUUUCAUCAUCUGAAUGAACCGAACACACGGAUGCAAGGCCGAAAUGAGAUAAAAUAAAUGGAUUCCAUUUAAAGGUGCACCUCUGGCAACAACAUGUGCAAAGUGCCAACCUUGAGAUGUUCCCACUCACAGAGGAACGGCAAGAUCACCCUGCUGCACUGUGCAAGGUAAUAGGUAAACAUCUGUAAACUCUUGAGGAGAAGUUGUCAUUUUAUUUCUCUUCAGCCUCCACUGAAUGCCUUGACUGCUAUUGGAAAGGACAUAACUUUACAGGAGCAGGAGGAACUAACUGAACUGAAACAAGAUCGUGGUUUAAAGGUAAGAUUUGCUGAACUUCCUUUGGACAGUUUUUGGAUGACUGCUGCCAUGGAAUUCCCCAUUCCGGCCAACAAAGUUUUGACAUUGCUCCCAUUUUCCACAACAUAUGUGUGUGAGCUGAGCUUUUCAAGCCUAACUGCUAUAAAAGCUAAAAACAGAGAGAGACUGAAAGCUGUUGAAGAGCUUCGUGUAUGCCUUUCUUAAAUUCCUGCCAGGAUAUCAGCUUUGUGUUCAUCUAAACAGGCCCAGGUUUCACACUGAGAAGCUGCAUUAAUCAUGAUGAACCCUGGCUACGCAGGCAGGACUGAGCUCUGGGACAACCUGGAGGCCGCUUCAAUCCAAGUUACUCAAGGAUGACGCAGAACUUAAAAUAAAAUAAACUGAUAAAUAGUAAAGAACACCAAAGUUUACAUUUGGAGUAUCAAAGGUCAUUAUCACAGGAUCACUGGAAUCAGGCACUAGGAGGAAAUUCCAGGACAAAUUAGGAAACAGAAUUAACUGACAUUUGCAAAUUCUUUGCAACUAAAAAGCUGUAAUCAUAUACUAUAUAACUUUUUUAAAAAACAUUUAAAGUAUAUAACAUUAGCACCUUGUAAUGUUAUACUAGAUGAAAAGUAAAGAAUCCUGGAACAUCUGAACAUCCAUAAUCUGAAAAUCUUGAACCUAGUGUCAAUCGAGUCAAUCCAAUCUUUCUUGUGUGCGUUUAACGGUAUUCUGUCGGACCUCUUUCCUGGUGUGGGCGUCCCCGAGCAUGACUACGGCGCGCUUCAGUCGAACAUCGAGGCAGCUCUAUGCACCCGCUCCCUGCAGCCCUUCUCCAGCAUGACCGCCAAGGUGAUCCAGCUGUACGAGACCAUGCUGGUGCACCAGGGCGUCUUGCUGGUGGGCCCUACAAGAGGCGGUUAGACCACGGCGUACCGUGCCCUCGCUGACGCACUGCGCACCCUCCACGAGACAGAGGGCUACGAGGUGAAUCCCUUCUACAAGCCCAUCGAGACCGACGUGCUCAACCCGCAGUCAGUGAGCAUGGACGAGCUGUAUGGUGAAGGCGACCCUCUCACAAUGGAGCGGAGUGCCAUCAAACGUCCCUCGGCAGUGACACCGCCAACACGCACAAGUGGGUGGUGAGUCACGUACCUGUGGACGUGCCUGUGGAUUGAGAAAAUUACCGCCGUGUUGGACAACAACAAGACACUCUGUCUGGCUAACGGUGAAAGGAUCAAGCUCACACCUUCUACACACAUGUUAUUCGAGGUGUUACCCAUCAGACACAGAUAGCACCGGUCCUAAAAACCAUCACAAACAAGCACAAGCAUGUCAUUUCCAAGAAGAUUUUUUUUUUACAUUAAACGCGUUCCUGAUGGAAAGGUCACACACGAACGUAUCUUUAAGACUUCACUCUUUCACACAGCUAUAACGAGUGAUAAAUGCAUUCGUUAUAAAAAAAGCAUGUUAUAAAGCCUCCUUAAUGCAUUACGCAUAGUAUUUAAAUAAAUAUUAUUAUAAUAACAUGCACUACACUACAUUAUGCAUUAUGAAUUCUUAACGUAUUGUUAACAUGUCUUUACUGUGAGCGGGAUGAUGACCAGACGCAGGCAGGCUCCCGGGUACUCAUAUCCGUAGAUGUACUGAUACAGAGCCAUUCUGGCCACACACUUAUCCAGAUCCACGUCCCAGUAUUAGCACAGCUGCUUCUGCCACUCAAAGUUACUGCUCGAGUCCACCUACGUGAACACAUACACAAAGAUGUGAUGUAUAUACGGUCUCACUGUAUACGAAUUGGGCAUUCUCACUGACGAUAUAGCGUGGAUAGUUUAUAAUGAGUGUGUUCAUACUGUAUAAACCUGGGAACUGAUUUGCAUAUGCACUGCUGUCAGAGCUGCAGUUAUUUUUAAAAGAUUUAUUAACAGCUUCUGACCAAUCAGAUCUGACCACACCCAUGAUUCCCUUCGCUCUGAAGAGAAGGUGUGUAGCCAUCUGUACCCUUUCAUUGAUGAGCUCGGUGACGAUGUCUCUGGCUGGCCAUCUACAGUAAUGAGAGCUGUGAUGAUGCUCUGAUGUAUUUUGGGUAAGUUACCCAAGAGUGGCCAACACAUUCAGCCUCUGUAUAAACACACACACACACACACGCACAGAGUAAUACCCGUACAUUACCACAUAUUACACCAUACACCAUUAUGUCAUGUAAUCAGAGAAGGAAAUCUGAAUUACAGUUCCCAGCAGCCACUGCAUCACAGUCACAUGACCACCUGCACCUGGAUCACAUUCCUGGUAAGCACUUGUGUAUUUAGCCAGUUUUCACUGCACUCUUUGUCUCACGUUUGUCUUUCCUUACCUUUGUCCCUGGUGCUGUGUUUUUCUCUUUGUUUUAUGUUUAGUCUUUUCCACAGUGAUUUGCCCCAAUGUCAGUGUCUUUUGUAUUUUGUUUAGUUCUUUAUUGAACUUGAAAAAUCUGCACUUGCAUCCAUCUCAAUCUCCAUAUCGUGACACAAAAAUAUAAAUAUAAUAUUAUAUUAUAUAUAAAAUGUGUGUGGGGGUAUAUAUUAAUAGAGAGAAAGGCAUUUCUUCUCAGGGGAGAGGGGAGUAAUCAAUAGGAAGAAGGAUCUGAGAGGGAACAUGGACAAAAUUAAUGGAACUUUUUCCUGGUUCGGCCCUAAAUUUGGGCCAGAUUAAAUUUCAUCUGUACAAGUUGGACAAUAGGGAUGGGGAACAUAGAUCCAGUACCCUUAAACCCAAUUAGAACUUCUAUUCCAAACAUUAAAACCAUUUUUUAUCUUGAAAUCUAGGGGCUUACCCAAACAAUAAACUCUAAUCACCUAAUUUUUAACCAAUAAAAACUCCUUUUUCCAAUGUUGAAACUUAGGGGCCAACCCUAACCCUGAACUUAACCAUCAGAAACAAAUAAUAUGUUCUCUAAACUGAUCCUCCAACCCCCAAUAGUUAACCUCACCUAAAACGUCUUACAUUUGGGCCGAUUUUUUAAAAAGUCUUUCUUUAUUUAUUCAUUUACAUAUGAUUCAUUUUCAUGAGAUUCAUAUUCAAGUGAUAUAUUUUCAUGUGAUUCAUUUACAUGUGAUUCAUUUUCAUGAGUCAUGAAAAUUAAUUUUUUUUAAAGUGGCAGAAUUCAUUUUUAACACAAUAUAUAGAUUUAAAAAUAUAUAUAAUUUCUUUUCCAUUUUUUUUAUACAACUGAUAUUUUCUCAUAGAAUGUUAAAUACAUAUAGAGAAAUAUAUACAGAAUGAAGGACAAGGUUUUGUGCCUGUGCCACCUCCCACACCAAGUGGGAGGUGUUGGGUUGGGUUGGGUUGAGUGUUGGGUUGAGUGUUGGGUUGAGUCAUCCCCUAACCUAACCCUGCCUGAGCCUUUUUAUUAAAGGUGUUUAAUUUAGUUUGAUGUGGUUUAGUUUGGUAGAAUGUGAAUUUAUCCGUUAUAUGUAGGCUAGCUAACUGCGUAGUUAACUAACGUUAGUCAGCUGACAAGAAAAAUAUCAGACUUUUUCCUCAUCCCCUGCCUGUCCAAACCCUGCCUCCUCUACAUCAGAUGCCCACGAUGUUGAGACCAACUCGACCAGUGAAAGUUCCCAAGUGACAUUUGAGUCAUCCCAGCCCGUUUCAAUCGGUGUGCAAUCUUUUAUAGAUGAUGACAGCCAAGCGCAGCGAGUUGAGUCUUCUCCCGUCCCUGCGGCUCUCAUCCCGACAAGACAGUUUAAAUCAGCUUGGCUACAUGAGUUCGCCUGGUUACGUUAUGACAAAGGGAAAAUGUACUGCACCUUUUGUGCUAAAGCAGGACAAGAUAUUGCUGGUAAAACAGAGUUCAUUACCAGUUCGAGUCAUUUUAAAAAAGAAACCGUAAAGAAGCAUGGAGACAGUACAAAACAUGAGAACGCCAGGGAUUGUGUCAUUGUUAGGUCUGCCCCUCGUGCCACCCCAAUCGUGAAAGCAGUGCAACGUGCUAGUGAUAAAGUCACUGAAAAAGAGAUGAGGGAAUUGAAAAUAAAAUUCAAUGCAGCCUACAUGACUCUGAGCCUGAAUAAGCAGGAAUUGAAUAAAAAAGUGAAAAAAAAGAAACAAAUGACUGCACAUUUAAGUAUUUACGGUAAUAUGAUUCAAGAUGGGGGCAGCACUGCCACUGUUGGGCCCUUGAGCAAGCCCCUUAACCCUCUCUACUCCAGGGGCGCUGUAUCAUGGCUGACCCUGUGCUCUGACCCCAACUUCCUAACAACCUGGGAUAUGCAAAGAAAAGAAUUUCACUGUGCUGUAAUGUAUAUGUGAUCAAUAAAGACUCAUUAUUAUUAUUAUAUGACGUACUGAACAUUGCACAUAUUGCACACUGUGUCUACUACUUUUAUCUACUAUCCACAGUCCAAAGGUUGUGGAGCUAGAAGGCUACGUGUGCGAAUGACAAAAGAUUUUAAAAAUAAAAUAAAAAAUGUAUCAAUACAUGAAAUUAGAUUACACAAUGUAGUUGAGGUUUACAUGAAUAAGCAGAAAUGUAAUCAUGCUUAUCUUUCCUAUAGCACAAAUGAAAAGCCCUCUCUAGAUGAGCAGAUUUGUCAAAUGAAAUGUUUUCCUUCUUAUCCACUGCUACAGUAAACUAAAGAGUAGAUAUUCAAAUUACACUGCUAAAUAUGACUAGCGUUAGCUACGUGUAGUAGUGCAAAAUAGUCCAUCAAAUGUAUUAGCAGGUGUAGCCUAUACACGAGUCCACUAUUGGUCAUAUCACUAUUGAGAACAUGCCCCAAAUUCAUUGCUUUAGUAGAACUUAAUUGUAAGUGAAAUGAUAAAUUGUAAUGUCCUUAGUAUUUGUGCAGUCUACAGGUCCUCUAACACUCUGUUAAAUGAAUAAAUGUAAAUGUACUAUGAGAGAGAUAAAAGUAGUAGACACAGAGUGUUUAUUUUUUGUCUAUAUUGCUCAUUUCAUUCAGUGCUUUAACGUCUAUAAAUCCUGCAGAGAUGUUAUGUAUGAGAUUUGUAAUGUAAAUCACUGGAUUUUACUUACUAUUGUUAUACAACUUAAAGGCAGUCAUUUUUCCUGGUUUAAAAGACUGCAUUCUACUGCAGACAAUCUAAAUGGAGAAACGUAAUUUUAAAAAUGAUUGUCAACUUAACAACUUGUGUUCAUAAUUAUGGUAAUUUAGUAAAUAACACUUAAAUUCCUUUUAAAUAAUGUGAAAAUAAAGUGUGUUUGUGUGUGUCAUAUUUUUGUUUGGAUGUCUGUGUGUAAUACACAUGGCCAUUCCAUGUAUAGUAACAUUUGUGUCAGGAAUGGAUGGGAUCCCGAUUUAACAUAACUAUAUAUAUUUUUAUGACCUACCACAGAGUGUUAGAAAGAACAUGUGUGCAACGUGUGUGGGGUGGAAAACACAUGGCCGUACCAUGUAUGGUAACGUUUCUGUCACCAAUGGAUGUGAUCCAGAUUUAACAUAACUAUAAAUAUUUUUAUGAUCAUGACCUUUGAUCUAGAUAUAAAGAGUUAGAAUGUGUAUCUUUUUGACCUUUGACCUAUACCUGUCAAAACUAAGGGUACAUUAUAUACAAACUAUUUCUCUCUCAGGAGGACUCGGGCCCAGAGAGCAGCACAGGAGCUGGUAGAGAAAAACAGUUUACAGAUGAUGAUGAGGGGGAGGAAGAGGUCACCCUAGAUCAGCCGACUACCUUUAUGUUUUCCAAACAGCCACAACAUAGUGUUGUGAUGCAGGAGAACCAGACCACAGCGCAGGAGCUACAGGAGGAGAACCCCUCACAGACAUGGAGGAGGAUGUGGUCGAACAGCCAGGAUAAUUUUACACCAUAGAACAGUUAACCUGGUUCUUGGAGCAGAUUUUAGGACAAGAUGAUGUCGUACUAACAAACUACUUUCCGGAUAGAAAAAAAUUCAUAAAAUCUGUGGAGCACACAACAACAGGUGAGAAUCUGGGCGUGCUGUCACCAACGAGACGCUUCAGAUUGGGGAUAUGGGCAUCAGAGGCAGGGUUUAAGGAGGUGAAUGAAGCAGGAUCAGGUAACCCACCUACUUCAAACUUUUCAGAACAACCUGAAGAACUGUACACCACAGAACAGUUAAACUGUUUUCUAGACUUAACAAAAGGAAAUCGUAACGUCUUGCUAACUAACUACUUCUUGGGCAGGGAAAAAAAAUAAUUCAAUCUGCACAACAAGCAAUAAAAACUGAAAACCUGGGCGUGCUGUCACCACGGAGACGGUUCAGACUGAGAAAAUGGACAUCAGCCGCAAGAAAAGCUAUAAUAUGAAUAGCACUGUGGACAUUUGCACACUAUAUGACUACAAUGGACUUGUAGUAGAACUGAAAGGGUUGGGGUUUUCUGGGUUGAGGGUGGGGGUGGGGGGUCUGAGGGGGUUCUUCUCUCUUCUUCUUUUUAAAAAAAUGAAAAUAAUUAUUUUAAAAAUGUAGAUAUGUAAAUAUACCAAAACUGAAUACAUUAAAGGUGUCUUAAAGUAAAAAAAAGUCUCUCUCGCUCUGUCUCUCUGUCUUGCUAUCUCUCUCUCUCUCACUCUCUCUGUCUCUCUCUCUCUCUCAGGAUUGUGGGUAGUGGGAGGAGUCGAGAGUUUUGCGGCACACUUUUGAGAGUUUGUUACUUUUAAUCAAUUUCUUAGUUCUUUUUUAAGAUUCAUGUAAAAAAAAAAAAAAAAAAAAAAAAAAAAAAAAAAAAAAAAAAGAUUAAUCUUAGACAUAAAACUUCUUUGAGCGCCGACUUCGGUCGGAAAACUUUGACAAAUGGGGUGAAGGGGAGAUUUCUCACGCUUGACUCUGAGACAUGGAUUUAAAUGUACACCUGAUGACUCCGUAUCUGUGGAAGAUGUGCUGGUUGCAGUCAGUGAACAGAUGGACUGCCGCAUCUUGGACAUGAAGAUAAAGCAGAGCUGGAGAAACCUUUGUCCUUUCAGGAGUUAACGGAAGCUGUCCAGCAGCAAUCUUCGGGAAAAUCACCAGGAUUGGAUGGCUUGACUUCUGAAAUUUAUAAAGCCUUCUGGUCCCUCAUUGGUCAGGAUUUGUAUGAGGUGUUUCUCGAAAGCUUUGAGUCAAAUAUCCUACCCAUCAGUUGUAGAAGAGCUGUAGUGACUCUUUUACCCAAGAAAGGAGAUCUUGGUUUAUUGAAGAACUGGCGACCGGUCUCUCUUUUAGGAACUGAUUAUAAAAUAUUGUCUAAAACUCUGACAAAUCAUCUUAAAAAAUCUAUAGCGUCCAUCAUCCAUGAAGAUCAGUCCUACUGUGUACCCUAGCGAUCUAUAUUUCACAAUCUUUUUUUGUGCGGGACAUGGUGUACUUAACGGAACUGCAUACAUUAGAUCUUGGUCUUCUGUGUUUGGACCAAGAAAAAGCCUUUGAUAAAUUUGACCAUGAAUACCUGUUCAAAAUACUUGAAAGAUUUGGCUUUGGGAAUCAGUUUAUUUCAUGGAUAAGGCUUCUUUAUAAAGAUGUCUAUAGUAUGCUGAAAAUAAAUGGAAUUUUGACCAGACCUUCUUCUGUAGGUAGAGGUGUGACACAAGGGUGUAGUUUGUCUGGUCUCUUGUACACGAUUUCCAUUGAGUCAAUGUUGAGGAUUCUGAGAGAGAAGCUGCAAGGAUUUACAGUUCCAACAUCUCACCUUUCAAACACAGCAGUGGUGAAACUCACCGCGUAUACAGAUGACAUCCCAGUGAUCAUUAGAUCUGAAGAUGAUGUUAAACGUCUUACCUCAUGCCUCAACAUCUUUUAGAGUGCUUCUUCCGCACGGAUCAAUUGGGGGAAAAACUGACACUUUAUUGUUAGGCCAUUGGUCACACCAAAAUCCACCUCAGCUUCCACAUCAGCACCCUUGGAAUAAAGAGGGGGUUAAGAUACUGGGGCUGUUCUUUGGGACUGAACAGCACAUGAACAAGAAUUGGGAAGGACUUGUAGAAAAAGUGACAGGCAAGCUCCAGAGAUGGAAGUGGAUUCAAGCCCAGCUUUCCUACAGAGGCAGGGUGCUGGUGGUGAAUAAUCUAGCCACCUCAAUGCUGUGGCAUCGUCUAACCAUGUUGGACCCUCAGAAAGAGCUUUUGUCACAACUUCAAAAAGCCUUUGUAGACUUCUUUUGGGGUGGUCAUCAUUGGCUUCCCCCCUGGGGUACUGUGUCUCCCUACAAUUGAUAGCGGUCAGGGAUUAAUUCAUUUUGCCUCUAAGGUAAUGAGGUUGCAG